UACGUAGGGCGCGAGCGUUGUCCGGAAUUAUUGGGCGUAAAGAGCUCGUAGGCGGCUUGUCACGUCGGUUGUGAAAGCCCGGGGCUUAACCCCGGGUCUGCAGUCGGUACGGGCAGGCUAGAGUUCGGUAGGGGAGAUCGGAAUUCCUGGUGUAGCGGUGGAAUGCGCAGAUAUCAGGAGGAACACCGAUGGCGAAGGCAGUUCUCUGGGCCGUAACUGACGCUGAGGAGCGAAAGCAUGGGGAGCGAACAGG
rnacentral:rRNA from 1 species